UGAACUGACAAGGGGCAGGGUGUAAUUCCCGACCGGCGGUAACGUGCAUAACGAAGCCCGCGAGCUGUUUCGCUAAAUGAUUUAGUGUAAAUGGCAGAUUUGGUGUAAAACCAAAGCCGACAGUUAAAGUCUGGAUGGGAUAUCAGUUUA
rnacentral:ncRNA from 2 species